GAGCAAAAUUUCAGGUGUG
rnacentral:miRNA from 3 species